CCUACGUGAAACGUUGUGCUUCCUGUUACAGAAGUGUUCACAAAACAAAGCUAUGUUAACACUUCUUACAAAAUAAGAUUUUGGGCGACUUAUUGACAAAUGUUAACAAGGUGCUGAAUCCUCUGUGUAGAAACCGCUUGUCUCAGCGCUGGGCGAGUGAGGUGACGUUUCGAAUGCAAGGGGUCAGGUUGAAACCCUGUCACUUCAAAGUGAAGGGAAUACUUGAAUAUCACCGUCAUAACGAAAGCAUCGCAGAAGUGCUCGCUGCAAAAGAACAACUGGUGGACAGCUUAAAAAAAACUCCAGUGAGAGAAACCCACCCCUGACUCACUCACUUCCUCUCCCACUUGGCCGUUCCGUCAGCACAGAAAAAAGCACAAACGCAGCAUCCGCAGUUUUUUUUUAAACUGAAACUCCCUGUUGAGCGUCACACAAUCCUGACGUUGUCAAAAACGCAAAGCGAAUUGAAAAGAGAGGACGGACGAGAGCAAGUGGGCAGCCUGCACAGCUCCCUUAACCAAGUGUUGAAGUUGUGAGAAGCUCAUUAACAGGCCUCAGCGAAGCAAAUUUAAACUUUUAAAAGUAAGGAAUGGACAAUAGGUCUUCUCUGGGGCACGUCCGGGCGCAUUGUCGCAAGGAGAGCGGGGAGCCAUGAGAGCAAAUGUAUCCACUGGCCAACAGAUUUGAGAAAUGUCGAACAGCUCAACCAAUGGCAUAGAGUUGCCACUGCUGUACUGGCAACCAAUGUUGUCCCAUGCUUGGAAAACAGCUCGGGUGACCAUGACUGUAUAUAGCAUCUAAAGUAACUGCCUGAAAGGAGUCAACGGUUCUUUGCAUAUCCACCAGAACCUUUCUUUUGCCAAAAAAGGAAACAAUUUUUUUUCUAUAUCUCUGUAAUGAUAACUGCAGUUUUAGUUUCAAGCUAAAGAUGUGAUUUCAGAAUUAUUAUAUUGAAUAUUAACUGUUUUAUGUAAACUGAAGAUGUCAAUAUUGUUAGUCUUUUAAAAAUAAGUUACAGUAUCUCAACAGCAUUAGCCAAUGUGUACUUUAACAUUACUAUGUGAAAAUUCAGCCAUGCCUCCUGUAUUUCUUUACUGGUGACUUGAAACGUCAACAGAUUGUUCACAUUCACUUGGAUAUUUUAUUGGUUUGUUUCAAGAAACUUCAAUAUGAUUUGGUAUUGGCAUUGAUUAAUUUUGCAUUUUGCUUUUUUUGCAGUUAUUUACUUAUCUAAAAAUCACAUUGACAAGAAAGAAUCAAUACUUUUUAACAAUAUCAACAGCUAAUGACUUAUACCAAGCCUGUGUCACCCUCUGCAAAAGGGAAAACUGGAAGGGAUAACAAUUUCAAAAACUCCUUCAUUAUUCUUAGAUCUUUACAAUUGCAGCUACAUUGAGGAGUUUUGAGGUCACAUUUGACAAUUUUGCAAGAUUCCCAGCAAAUCUUGUGUGAUCAUUAAAAUAAUAGUUGGUUUCCUGUGGUAAGAUUCAUAUUUCAUCGCUUUGGAGGAGGUGGUGAGAGAGGCAGCAUGUAAGAAUUUUUACAGCACUGCAGUAUUAAAAUACCAGAGUACAGGGAGUGGCAGAUGGAGUUUAAUUUAGAUAAAUGUGAGGUGCUGCAUUUUGGAAAGGCAAACCAUGCAGGACUUAUACACUG